AGUCUUACAGUGCGAUGUGCAUUGUUUGGGGAUUAUGUUAAUCAAGUGAAUCAUUUUCUUGUCUCUGGCUAUGUGGAGCAGCCUGUUGUGGUGAUUCAGCUUGCAAAAGUCAAGUUCUUUAGGGGUCAAGUAGGUCUUCAAAAUGUGAUGUAUGCCACUCAAAUGUUAUUUAAUCCUGAUAUUCCUGAAGUUGUUGAGUUCAGGCAGAGUAUGAUUGAGCAAGGUGUCAAUGGUACCCAUCCGCUGUUUAUUGCAAAUGAGGGUAAAGUUCUCUCAUUGGAAGAUGAUUUCAUGCGUUUAACUAGAAAAUACACUAUUGAAGAGCUUCAAGAUAACAGUCAGGAGGGUUCUUUUAUCAUCUUUGGUGCAAUUCAAGGUAUUGUUGAGGAUGGAGGUUGGUGGUAUUCUACUUGUGUGUGUGGAAAGGGUAUCUAUCCUCAAAAUGGUGC